rnacentral:rRNA from 1 species
AAAGGAAUUGACGGGGGCCCGCACAAGCGGUGGAGCAUGUGGUUUAAUUCGAUGCAACGCGAAGAACCUUACCUACCCUUGACAUACAGUGAAUUUUGCAGAGAUGCGAAAGUGCUCGAAAGAGAAUACUGAUACAGGUGCUGCAUGGCUGUCGUCAGCUCGUGUCGUGAGAUGUUGGGUUAAGUCCCGUAACGAGCGCAACCCUUAUUCUUAGUUGCCAGCGCGUAAAGGCGGGAACUCUAAGGAGACUGCCGGUGACAAACCGGAGGAAGGCGGGGACGACGUCAAGUCAUCAUGGCCCUUACGGGUAGGGCUACACACGUGCUACAAUGGCAAGUACAGAGGGCAGCGAAGCGGUGACGUGGAGCGAAUCUUUCAAAGCUUGUCGUAGUCCGGAUUGAAGUCUGCAACUCGACUUCAUGAAGUCGGAAUCGCUAGUAAUCGCAAAUCAGCAUGUUGCGGUGAAUACGUUCCCGGGCCUUGUACACACCGCCCGU